AUUGAACGCUAGCGGGAUGCUUUACACAUGCAAGUCGAACGAGUGGCGGACGGGUGAGUAAUAUAUCGGCACGUGCCCAGUAGAGGGGGAUAACUACUCGAAAGAGUGGCUAAUACCGCAUACUAUUGGAGCGGCCGAUAUCGGAUUAGCUAGUUGGUGGGGUAAAGGCUCACCAAGGCAACGAUCCGUAGCUGGUUUGAGAGGACGACCAGCCACACUGGGACUGAGACACGGCCCAGACUCCUACGGGAGGCAGCAGUUGGGAAUCUUGGACAAUGGGCGAAAGUCUGACCGAGCAACGCCGCGUGAGUGAGAAGGUUUUCGGAUCGUAAAGCUCUGUUGUUAGAGAAGCGGUAUCUAACCAAUAAGCCACGGCUAACUACGUGCCAGCAGCCGCGGUAAUAC
rnacentral:rRNA from 1 species